UGCCCAGGUAGCUCAGUUGGCAGAGAGGAUUUGAAAACCUCUGUCGGUGGUUCGAUUCCACCCCUGGGCGG
rnacentral:tRNA from 1 species